UGGGGUGUAGCUCAAGGGUAGAGCACUUGCCUAGCACACACAAAGCCCUGGGUUCCACCCCCAGCACUUAAA
rnacentral:tRNA from 1 species